rnacentral:lncRNA from 1 species
CCAUAUAAGACAAACUAUAUUUUCUCUGAAUAUUUUCUUUCUUAGAAAAAUGCUAGGUAUCUUCUACAUGAGUGAGUAAGAGACACCUCUCCCAUCAGGGAAAGGUAAUAAAUAGUGUGUAUGUAAGUAUAAGGAAUAUCAGAUUAAAGAUUUUUCGUAUGUUAUAAUAUGCUCAAGAAAUAAAAAGUUUGUUUCAUAUAUCAUUUGCCAAUCUUUUGUGCUGGUAAAAAAUGAAGGUUGUGAUCUUCAGCCUUAACGGAGGAAGGACGGAGCAGUAGCCUGAGACAGUGAGUCAUAAUAGGCUAAAAAGUUCUUCAUAGACGGAAGGAGAAGCACUGUGGUGUUGAUACAACUAACAUACAAGAAAGUUGAAAGGUAUAUACAUAAACUCUACCAUUUCAUGAACAUAUUAGCAUAAAAAAAGUCUGUUUUCAUAUUUGCUCUAUACCUUCAUACAUAUUAUAUAUUACUAAGUACCUAUAGGGAAUAUAAAAUUAUGAAAUGUUUAUAUUUAUUAUCAUGAGAGUGGUACAACCACAAUUACAUUAACUUAGAAGAAAAAAAUUGGAAACCAUAAUUAUUAUAAGAAGGAUUAAUGAAGCUUUAAUAAAUUUGAGAAACUAUGGUAGAGAAAUCUAUCUUUUAAGAAAGAAUACUUCGAAUAAUCUUGUGAAAUCUAGAAUUAAUGAAGUAGAGAAGCUACUGCUUAGAGCACAAGAUAGAGAUCAAGCUUUAAAAAAUAUAUACGUUUAUCUGUUAAAAAGAUCUAAGGCUAAGUUAAAUAAAUACUUACUUAAUACUGCCUAAAGAGUCAUUAUACGAUUUUUUUAAAUGAAAAAACAUUAAUUACUAUUUUAAAAGUGAUAAAAUUAAAUAAAGAUUUACAAAAGAAAACUCUUGAAAAAAUUAUAGAUCAUCUUGUUCAAGAACAGUGGUCUAUACAUGACUAUUCGUAUGUAGAUAGUGAUGAUGAUCCAUACUAUUGGUAUGAUGAUGGUUAUUUCACUGAUUAAGUGAAUAAAAAUUCUACAUGCACACCCUGUUUGCGAAAAACUUCAUUUUAUUGAUUAAUUACUAUUUUAAAGGUGAUAAAAUUAAAUAAAGAUUUACAAGAAAAAAUUCUUAAAAAAAUUAUACAUCACCUUGUUCAAGAACAAUGGUCUAUACAUGACUAUUCGUAUGUAGAUAGUGAUGAUGAUCCAUACUAUUGGUAUGAUGAUGAUUAUUUCACUGAUUGAGUGAAUAAAAAUUCCGCAUGCACACCUUGUUUGUGAAUAGCUUCAUUUUAUUUAUUAAUUACUAUUUUAAAAGUGAUAAAAUUAAAUAAAUAUUUACAAGAAAAAAUUCUUGAAAAAAUUAUAGAUCAUCUUGUUCAAGAACAAUGGUCUAUACAUGACUAUUCGUAUGUAGAUAGUGAUGAUGAUCCAUACUAUUGGUAUGAUGAUGGUUAUUUCACUGAUUAAGUGAAUAAAAAUUCCGCAUACACACCCUGUUUGCAAACAACUUCAUAUAUAUAUAUAUAUAUAUAUAUGCAACUAAAAGAGAAUCUCACCUCCAAAAAGAUCUUGUGUUGGGGGUUUUGUGUUUGCUUAGGCAUGCCCAUGGCCCGCAUAAGUACAAUGUAGCCAUUUAUAUAGGUGAUGAUUUUCUUUUACGUACAGUUUACGAAUCUUAAUUUCUUUCCAUACAUUUUAGGACCUUUUUAAUCUUAGUACUCUUAUACUUUAUGUAUUUUAUAUAUAGCUUAGGACUCUUAAUUUCUUCACAUAUAAUUUAGGACCUAUUUUAUUAUAGGACUCAUAUGUUUUGUGUAUUUUAGGAUUUUUAAUUUUCUUUUCAUGUACUUAUUUAAUUAGAAUUCUUCCUCCAGAAAGAUCUCGUGUUGGGGUUUUUUCAUUUUUAUGUUUGCUUAGGUAUGCCCAUUUUUUUCAUGUAUUUAUUUAAUUAGGAUUCUUUUCAUAUAUUUUAGGAGUCCUUAAUUUAAUAAAAUAAUAAUUAGAGGAAAAUGGUGAAAAGAUGAUUUUUUCUAUUACGCAACUUUUAGUGAAGGGCAAAAAGUUCAAUUCACUUUUCUAAGUGUCUUCACACUUUUAAUAUAUUAUAUAGAUAUAUAAAUUAUAUAGAUAUAGAUAUAUAGAUAUAUAUAUAUAUAUAUAGUUUCAUUGAGACCCUCAUAUUUAGUAAAAUUAUGAAUUGACCCCGGCGACAAAAUAGAAACAGUUACGUCAGUUACCCAUCUCUUUCAAUAGUGACUUUUGUCAUUUAUGAUUUUCCUUAUUAGCCCUUCAACUUUCCAAGUUUUUAUAUUUGGUACUUAGCUUUUCCAUAAUUAUGGUAAUAAGGAUAAAAGAAAAAUUUAUACAAUUAGAUUACUUCAUUCAACUGCAUUGACCAUCCAGGAUCUUCGAGAGCAGAGAAAAGGAUAAAAGGAUAGGUAGCUAGCGAGAAAAAUAGUGGAUAUGGUAACAAUUACAAUGAAUUACUAGAAUAAGUUUAGUUUGUAAUUUUAUAUAUAUAUAUAUAUAUAUUGAAAACUCUUAAAUUUUAUAAUUUUUUCUAUAUUUUAUACAUAAUUUGUUUUAUAUUUAUAGUAGCAGUUGCAAAAAUAUAUAAUCAAACUACUUAUUAUAUGGUAACAAUAUAGAUAAAUUUUUACUCAGUUUGUAAUUUAAUAAAUACAUUACCUUUUCUUUAAUAUUUUUUAAGGUUAUUUUUAUUUUAUCUACUCCCCAACUUUCCAAGUUUUUCAUAUCUAACUCUAAGAUUUUUUCACAUAAUUAUGGUAACAAGAAUUAGAUCUGAUAUAUGGUAACAAUAUCAAUAAAUUUCUAGAAUAAGUUUAGUUUGUAACUUAAUAAAAAUAUUAACAUUUUUUUUAUAGUAGUUUGAUAAAUUUUAAGAAUUUUCGUUAACAACUCUCCAACUUUUCAAGUUUCUCUAUAUUUCACGCUCAAAAUUUUCAUAUUUACGAUAGCAAACAAAUAAAAAUUUAUAUGCAAUCAAAUUACUUAUGUGUGAUAAUAAUAUAUAUAAAUUUCUAUAAUAGAUUUAGUUUGUAAUUCAAUAAAAAUGUUGAACUUGUUAUAAUAUAUGUCAAAAUAUACAACUGUUAUUAGGUAUUAGCUACGAUUUUCAAAUAUGUAGUUGCACUACUAAAAAAAACUGAAAAACCGACCAUGAAAAAACGACCACAGAUUGUGAUCGGAAAAAAACUGACCACAUCUGGUCAAUAUUUUUUUUUUUUAAAUUCUUUUUAAAGCGACCACAAGUGGUCACUUUUAUAUUUUAAAAUUUCAAAAUAAUUUUUUCAACAAUUUUUAUAUUAAUUAUUAACUAUUUUAUAAAUAAAAAUUAAAAACAAAAAAAGAAAACCGACCACUUGUGGUCAGUUUUCUUAAAAAAAAUAAUUAAAAAAUAUUUUUAAAAAAACCGAGCACUAGGGGUCGGUUUUUAAUUUUAUUUUUUUAAAAAAAAUAUUUUUAAAAAAUCAACCACAAGUGGUCGGUUUUUAAUUAUUUUUUUAAAAAAAUAAUUUUUAAAAAACUGACCACAAGUGGUCGUUUUUUUUUUUCUUUUUAAAGCGCCCGCAAGUGCUCUCUUUUUUAUUUUAACANNNNNNNNNNNNNNNNNNNNNNNNNNNNNNNNNNNNNNNNNNNNNNNNNNNNNNNNNNNNNNNNUAUAUAUAUAUAUAUAUAUAUAUAUAUAUAUAUUAUUUUCAUUAGAAAUAAUUAUAUAUAUAUAUUUUUCAAAUUACACUGAUCACACGAAGUCGAUAACAGUCUAUUAUAAGGUAAUAUAAUUGUGGAUGUGAUAUAUAUAGUACUCAUUCAAGCGUUCAUAUACAUAAAUAUAUAUAUAUAUAUAUAUAUAUAUUAUUUAGUGAUUGAUUGAUGAACGAUGUAAUCAAAAUCUAUUAUUGUAUUAAAAUAAUCAAAUAUAAUUAAUCGAUAACUCAUCUGAGUAAGUAUAAGAAGCCCAUCACAUUAUAUUAUUGGAUAAUAUAUUUGUGUACGUAUGUGAUAGAUAUAGUACGUAUUUAGAACUUGAUAUAGUCGAUAGUGUGUAUAUGUGUGUAUAUGUAUAGGUAUAUCUCUCUCUAUAUAUAUAUAUAUAUGUAUGUAUAUAUACAUAUUAUACAGUACUAUGGAAUAUUAAUGACAUACGAUAAUGUAAUCGAUAAUUCAUAUGAGUAUUUAUAAAAUAUGUUGUAUAUUAUUAUGGGGUAGUAAAAUCAUGUAUUUGAUGUUUAUAAUAAGUAUCUGAAAGCUGAUAGACAAUUAAAUAUAUGUAUAUACGUAUAUCUUGUGCAGUGACAUAUGCAGUAAAUGAUAUAUAUACAAACACGUUGUAUUACGAUAUAUAUAUAUAUAGGAAGUAAUCAGAGUGGUUUACAGUUAUAAGCUUACUAUUUUUUUAUGAUUUAUCAAUUCAAAUAUAAUAUUUGAUUAUUUAAAAAAAUUAUAAUAAUUAAUUAAAUAAUUUUAUUUUUAAUUAUUAUUUAUUUUUCAAAUAAAAAUUUAAAAAAUAAUACAAAAACUGACUACUUUUCAAAUAAUAAUAAUCAUAUCAAUUAAUGUGACAUUUUUUGAAUUUUAAAAAUUAAAUAAAUUUAUUUUGUUAAGUAAUUUUUGCAUAUAUUCUUAAAAUAUAUUUAAUUAUCAAUUAUUAUGAUUUAUUAUUCAAAAAUAUAAUUUUAUUUCAAAAAUUUAAUUCACAAUCAAAAUUAAACUCUACAAAUGUAUAAAUUAAUAAAGAGCCUGAAAAAUCAAAUUCGAUGGGCCUAUAUUGCUGUUUUUUAUAUAACACGGGCUUAGUAUUUGUUAUUUUUUUUUUAUCUCAAACAAUGUGAUCCAAAUAGAAUUUAGAUAAUCAAUCAUACUUUUAAUACAUUUUUAGAUAUUUUAAGUUGUUAACUAUUGUAGUUUAUAAUAUUUUUUUUGUUAUCAAAUAAUAUAUGUUACUCUCCUUGUCCAAACUUUUGUGGAGUUGAUAGUCAAUUAUAUUUUAAAAAUAAUUUAAGUUUUUAAUUAUUGUGAUUUAUUAUACUAUUCUUCUAUUCCAAUUUAAAUGUCAUUGAUAUAAUUUUGAGAGUCAAUCAAAUAUUCCAUAUCUUUUAAAAAUUUUCAAGUUUUGUUAAAUAUUUCAUAAUUCAUAUUCAAGUUGUUAUUGAGAGUCAAUCAAAUAUUUGAUAGUCAAUUGCAUAUUUUAAAUAAUCUAAGUUUUUAAUUAUUGUGGUUUAUAACACUUUUUCUUAUAUUCCAAUUUAAGUGGCACAAUGCUUAGACUAUAAUAAUUAAUUAGAGGUGAUAUAGUAAAAUUACGAUUGAAGCAAAGAAACAAACAUAUGUCUUAAAUUAUUCAUAAUAACUAAUAAGAAGUGAUAUAACAAAAUUACUACAAAAAGUCCAUGUGAUUUUUUUUUUAAAAAAUGGGCCUCAAAUAAGACGUGAAGUUAAUUUAAAACAUCAAAAGUUAAGUUAUUAUUUAUAUCUAUUUUAUUAUUAAAUAUAUAUUUUUGUAAUAUUUAGAUGACUUAUAAUAAUUAAUUAGGAUGAUAUUUAGUAAAAUUACGAUUGAAACAGUUGAAGCAGACAUGUCAUAUAUGUGUGUGUAUUUAUAGGUAUAUAAAUAUAUAGUAUAUACAUAUAAUAUAGUGAACGUGUAUUAAUGACAUAAGAUAAACCAACCGAUAAUUCAACUGAGUAUUUGUGAAUUACGUUACGUUGUAUAUUAUUAUGGGGUAGUAAAAUCGGGUAUGUAAUAUAUAUAGUAUGUAUUUGAACGGUGAUAGCCAAUUGAAUAUAUUACUUUAUUAAAAAAUAAUCUAAUAUAUUGUGUUUUAAAAUUAUAUUGAUUACAAGUAGUCAAUAACCAAUACAAUAAUAAUAAAAAUCAAUAAAUUAGGCCAGGAAAUCAAAUUUCAAUAUUUGACCUAUAUAUGUACAUGCCAAUCGAAUAUAUGUAUAUAUCUCGUGUAGUGACGUAUGCAGUAAUCAAAAUCUAUGUAACUGAAUCUAAUUAACCGAUAAUCCAACUGGAUCUAUGAAAGGUGGAAUUGUGUUUUGAAUAUAGUUAAGCGUGGUCACUAGAGAAGUGAGUUAUAAUUAGAACUGAGUUAUUUCAAUUUUACGUAACAUUAAUUUUACAUGCUUAGUUUAUUUUGAUAUCAACAUCUAAUUUUUACACAUUAUUCUUAUAUUAAAUACAUAUUUACGUGUCACAUUCAUAAUUUAGAAAAAAUGCAUAAAUUGUUUCAUUGUCUUUUAGCAUCAUUUUUAUAAUAUCUUACGAUAUAUUUUUUUGUGAUUUUAUUAAUAUUUAUUAAAUUAUUUUUUACGUAAUUUUGCACACUCAUAUUUUUGCAAAUACAUUUUUUCAUUAUUUAGUACUAUUUAUUUAUUCAUAUUAUUAUUAUUAUUAUUUAUUAACAUUGUUGUAAUUAUUAUUAUUAUUAUUUAUUAUUGUUACAUUAUACUUACUAUUUUUAAAUAACGGCCUAAAUUGAAAUCUUUGCAUAAAUUUAUUUAUCUUUUAACCCAAUUUUUACUCAAUUUCUUACAAUCUUUCUAGCCAAAAUCAUUUCAAUUCUAGCCAUUUUACAUCAAAUUCAACCAUAAGCACUUCAAGUUGAAUUAUUGAACCCCUUAUUUUAAUCUCAGCUGUUGAUCAUAACUGAUCCAACGACUGAGAUGAUCUCAACCCUUUCUUUCUUAUUUAAAACCAAAACAAAAACCCUAACCCUAUUUCUUAAAACCAAAUCAUCUGUCGCCCCCCUCUCUCUUCUCUUCAAUCGGCGUUCAUGGUUGUCGCUAGCCAUUCCAGCACCGGCGAAGCCCUCUUCCUUCUUCCUCUCUUCCCUCGUAUCCUCCUCCCACAAACUACACCAACAACAUCGGCGAGACCCCGAUCCCCCGCCGCUCCAGCGCUGCUAGUGCCGCUCUAAUGACGAUCAAACGACCCCUCGUGCCACCAGCCUGCUCUGGCGUCAUCCCUCCGUUCACCCGCUCCGCCGUCAUCUUCCACCGGCUCUGUCGUCGCCGUCUCAGCCACCAACGCCGGCAGCUAUGCCUCCAUACGACAAGAAUUCAACCAGCAACCCCCCCCCCCCAUCUAACUACGUUUGAUCGAUAGACACCAUAACAGGUUCCGUCCAUAAUUAAUUUUAUAUUAGUCUUUGUUUGAUUUGAGUGGAGAGUUAGGUUGGAGUUCUUGAAAAUUACGUUGGAGUUCUUUUAAUUUACUUUCUUGCUUUUGGUUUUUUAUUUUGUACAUUAUUCAAUUCCCAAAGAACAUAUGAAGAUUGUUCCUAGAGGUAGAUUUGUUAAAGCUUAGCCCUGAAAAUAAAUUUGUUGAAAGAUUUUGAAUUAUUUGCUAUGUGUCUACCUCUCAUUUUAGGAUUUUCUUGAGAUCUUUCUAGUUUUCUAAAUAUAGUUUAGUGUAGUCGCUAGAGAAGUGAGUUAGUGAGUGAAAAAUGUUUAAGUGUAGGUACAUGAAAUGUGGACUUGUGUUUUAAAUUUAGUCAAUUGUGGUCAUUUGAGAAGUGAGUUAGUGACUUGUAAAUAUUUAAGUGUAGGUACUUAAAAUGUGGACGUGUGUUUUAAAUUUAGUUAAGUGUAGCCAUUUGAGAAGUGAAUAAGUGACUUGAAAAUAUUUAAGUUUAGGUACCUGAAAUGUGAACUUCUAUUUUGAAUUUAGUUAACAGUGGUCACUUGAGAAGUGCAUUAGUGAGUCGAAAAUAUUCAAGUGUAGUUACUUGAAUGGUGGACUUGUGAAGUGACUUAGUGACUUGAAAAUGUGUAGGUAUAGGUAUUUGAAAUGUGAAAUUUUCAUUUUGAAUUAAGUUUAGUUUGGUAACUUGUGAAGUGAAUUAGUGACUUGAAAAUGUUUAGGUGCAGGUACUUGAAAGGUGAACUUUUCAUUUUGAAUUUAUUUUAGUUUGGUAAAUUGUGAAGUGACUUAGUGACUUAAAAAUUAUGAAUUAGUGACUUUUGUUAUGAAUAUAGGUACUUGAAAUGUGAAUAUGUGUUUUGAUUUUAGUAAAGUGUGGUCACUUGAGAAGUGAAUUAGUGACUUGAAAAUGUUUAAGUGUAGGUACUUGAAAUGUGAACUUUUGUGACUUGAAUUUAGUAAGUGACUUGAAGAUUUUUUAAAUGUAGGUGCUUGAAAUGUGGACUUAUGUUUUGAAUUUAGUUAAGUUUGGCCACUUGAGAAGUGCAUUAGUGAGUCAAAAAUGUUUAAGUGUAGUCGACUCUAAUUACCCACCCCUACUGUUAUACAUGGACACGGUGGAAUGUUGUGGAAUAAUAAGAAAACGGAGAACAAAUUCUCAAGUUUAUCGUGUGUAAACUUUAUUCAAUGCUGAGCAAUUGACAUAUUUUGAAUGGCGAGAAGAUUAACAUACUUAAAAUUUAUGGGCUUUGCAUCCUAUGGAAGCAGAAGAAGGUCAAUUUCAGCAUUAGUAAGCACAUGAUAAGAGGGGUACUAAACUACAUUAUUCAAAUUUAUGGGGUCCCUCUAAGCUUCCAUUGAAAGAAGGAAAGAUGUAUCCUCUCACAUUCAGUGAUAAUUUUUCACAAAAGGUUUGAGUGCAUUUCUUGAAGGGAAAAAUGAUGAUUUUAAAGAGUUUAAGGAGUAAAAUAUAUUGAUUGAGAAUCAACAGAAUGAAAAAUCAAGUAUCUUCACACAGACAAUGGCUUAGAGUUUUGUUCUGAAGAGUUUAAUAAUUUAUGCAAGGUUCAUGUGAUCUCAAAACAUAAGACAGCCAAGCACACCCUACAACAAAAUGAAGUUGUCGAGAGGAUGCAAAGAGUUCUUCUUGAAAAGGCUCAUUAUAUUUUCCUACAAGCCCAAAUGUCCAAGUGUUUUGGGCUGAAGUAGUUUACUUUUAAAGGUGAACUUUUCAUUUUGAAUUAAGUUUAGUUUGGUAACUUGUGAAGUGAAUUAGUGACUUGAAAAAUAUUUAGGUGUAGGUACUUGAAUUAUGAAUUAGUGACUUUUGAUUUGAAUUUAGAUACUUGAAAUAUGAACUUGCGUUUUUUAUUUUUGUAAAGUGUGGUCACUUGAGAAGUGAAUUAGCAACUUGAAAAUCUUUAGGUGUAGGUACUUGAAAUGUGAACUUUUCAUUUUGAAUGAAGUUUAGUUUGGUAACUUAUGAAGUGAAUUAGUGACUUGAAAUAUUUAGGUGUAGGUACUUGAAAUAUGAAGUGAAUUAGUGACUUGAAAAAUAUAUAGGUGUAGGUACUUGUAUUAUGAAUUAGUGACUUUUGUUUUGAAUUUAGAUACUCGAAGUGUGAACUUGCGUUUUCAUUUUAGUAAAGUGUGGUCACUUGAGAAGUGAAUUAGGGACUUGAAAAUGUUUAGGUGUAGGUACUUGAAAUUUGAAAUUUUCAUUUUGAAUUAUGUUAUGUUUGGUAACUUAUGAAGUGAAUUAGUGACUUGAAAUGUUUAGGUGUAGGUACUGGAAAUAUGAAGUGAAUUAGUGACUUAAAAAAUGUUUAGGUGUAGGUACUUGAAAUUUGAAAUUUUCAUUUUGAAUUAUGUUAUGUUUGGUAACUUAUGUAUUUACUCAGUUUUAUAGUUACUAGAGAUGUUAUCUUCGAUAAAACCUCUGUACUUGAUCCUUAUAGAAUUUCUAUAGAGUCAAUAAGAAAUAAGAACCUGCGUUUUCAUUUUAGUAAAGUGUGGACACUUGAGAAAUGAAUUAGCGACUUGAAAAUGUUUAGGUGUAGGUACUUGAAAUGUGACAACAAGUGGGUGGAGCUACUGGAAGAUCUUACCAAGGAUAAGGAUCAAUAGACUAAAAUUGAUGAGUCAAAAGAUGUAGAUCUUAAAGAACUUGUUGUCAAUGAACCAUACACAAUUAUGAAGGAAAGGAACAAAAGAGAGAUAAAAAAUUAAAAUGCUUUAUAGAUCAAGAAAAUCUGAUUGGAUAUGCACCUGUAGCUUCAGAAGAAGAGAAUAAGGAUCUUGAGCUCUCCUCAUAUAUUUAAGCAACUAAAUUUAGAUACUCGAAAUGUGAACUUGCAUUUUUAUUUUAGUAAAGCGUGGUCACUUGAGAAGUGAAUUAGCGACUUGAAAAUGUUUGGGUGUAGGUACUUGAAAUGUAAACUUUUUAUUUUGAAUUAAGUUUAGUUUGGCAACUUAUGAAGUGAAUUAGUGACUUGAAAUGUUUAGGUGUAGGUACUUGAAAUAUGAAGAGAAUUAGUGACUUGAAAAAUGUUUAGGUGUAGGCACUUGAAUUAUGAAUUAGUGACUUUUGUUUUGAAUUUAGAUACUCAAAACGUGAACUUGCGUUUUCAAAGGAAAUUAACUAUAAUGAGAUCGUCUCUUCAGUCAUGAAACAUAGCUUAAUUUGCAUGCUACUAGCAUUGGUUGCCCAAAUUUGACUUGGAUCUUCAACAACUUGAUGUCAAAAUUGCUUAAAAUGUGAACUUUUCAUUUUGAAUUAAGUUUAGUUUGGUAAGUUAUGAAGUGAAUUAGUGACUUGAAAUGUUUAGGUGUAGGUACUUGAAAUAUGAAGUGAAUUAGUGACUUGAAAAAUGUUUAGGUGUAGGUACUUGAAUUAUGAAUUAGUGACUUUUGUUUUGUUUAUUCCAUGAGGAAUUCAAUAAGCUUUCCAUCGAUAUAAGAUUUUCCCUAAUCUGAUAACCGGGAAAGAAGUUACGACUAUUCCAAGUUUUCCUCUUAAAACAGCGCCAUAUUAGUCAGUGGCACAUCGUGCCACAAGCGAAAAUGGCAAUUGUUCUUUUUCCAGUGUCUCAACGUAAUUUCUCCGUGCCGCACCAAAGUUCUAGGUUGCAAACGAAGUAGCAACGCGAUGGCUCCACGUCGCAUCAUCCCCCAAUUUCCCAAUUGUCAAAUUCCAGUGACAUGGCGCCGUUAUAGUAAAGUGUGGUCACUUGAGAAGUAAGUUAGUGACUUGAAAAUGUUUAGGUGUAGGUUCUUGAAAUGUGAACUUUUCACUUUGAAUUAAGUUUAGUUUGACAACUUAUGAAGUGAAUUAGUGACUUGAAAUGUUUAGGUGUAGGUACUUGAAAUAUGAAGUGAAUUAGUGACUUGAAAAAUGUUUAGGUGUAGGUACUUGAAUUAUGAAUUAGUGACUUUUGUUUUGAAUUUAGAUACUCGAAAUGUGAACUUGCGUUUUCAUUUUAGUAAAGUGUGGUCACUUGAGAACUGAAUUAGUGACUUGAAAAUGUGUAGGUGUAGGUACUUGAAAUGUGAAUUUUUCAUUUUAAAUUAAGUUUAGUUUGGUAACUUAUGAAGUGAAUUAGUGACUUGAAAUCAAUCUUCGCUAAACAAAGAACUAAGGUAUGUGUUGUGUUGAUUUAUGGAUUCCUUUCAUCCAUAAAGCUCAAGAACCCUAUUUUAAAUUAUGAAACAUGAUAUUUAUGUUGUGAGUUGGUUGUAACUAUGUUUAUCUUGUUAUAUGAUUCCCAAGUUAGAAUAUUUAUUUGUUUUUCAUGAAAAUACAUUAGCAAGUGAGUGAAAUCCAUAAAUUAUUCUUGAAUUAUGAAUUAGUGAAUUUUGUUUUGAAUUUAGAUACUCGAAAUGUAAACUUGCAUUUUCAUUUUAGUAAAGUGUGGUCACUUGAGAAGUGAAUUAGCGACUUGAAAAUGUUUAGGUGUAGGUAUUUGAAAUGUGAACUUUUCAUUUUGAAUUAAGUUUAGUUUGGUAACUUAUGAAGUGAAUUAGUGACUUGAAAUAUUUAGGUGUAGGUACUUGAAAUAUGAACUUUUGUGACUUGAACUAAUUACUUGAAUGUGAUUGAUUGUGUAGAUAGAAUCUGAGUAUAGCUGGAUAUAUCAACAAAAUAUUGAUAGUAGAAUUGUUGAGGCUGAGAACGAGGAUGCGGAAGAUGAGUUUUUUAGUCUUUUGUAUAUUUUGUAGUUUGAAUUUGGAACCUCGAUAAAUUUUGUAAUUAGUUUGAUUUUUAAUGUUUGUAUUCUUAUGUUGGUUGAUUGUAAUUAAAUGAUUGGUGGUUUGUAUUGUAAAUAAUUUGAUUUUUAAUUUUGUAAAUAAUUUGAUUUUUAAUGUUUGU